AUUGGAGGUAGAGCACUGUUUGGACGAGGGGCCCCUCUCGGGUUACCGAAUUCAGACAAACUCCGAAUGCCAAUUAAUUUAACUUGGGAGUCAGAACAUGGGUGAUAAGGUCCGUGUUCGAAAGGGAAACAGCCCAGACCACCAGCUAAGGUCCCAAAAUAUAUGUUAAGUGGAAAAGGAUGUGGCGUUGCCCAGACAACUAGGAUGUUGGCUUAGAAGCAGCCAUCAUUUAAAGAGUGCGUAAUAGCUCACUAGUCGAGUGACACUGCGCCGAAAAUGUACCGGGGCUAAACAUAUUACCGAAGCUGUGGAUUGUCCUUUGGACAAUGGUAGGAGAGCGUUCUAAGGGCGUUGAAGCAUGAUCGUAAGGACAUGUGGAGCGCUUAGAAGUGAGAAUGCCGGUGUGAGUAGCGAAAGACGGGUGAGAAUCCCGUCCACCGAUUGACUAAGGUUUCCAGAGGAAGGCUCGUCCGCUCUGGGUUAGUCGGGUCCUAAGCUGAGGCCGACAGGCGUAGGCGAUGGAUAACAGGUUGAUAUUCCUGUACCACCUAUAAUCGUUUUAAUCGAUGGGGGGACGCAGUAGGAUAGGCGAAGCGUGCGAUUGGAUUGCACGUCUAAGCAGUAAGGCUGAGUAUUAGGCAAAUCCGGUACUCAUUAAGGCUGAGCUGUGAUGGGGAGAAGACAUUGUGUCUUCGAGUCGUUGAUUUCACACUGCCGAGAAAAGCCUCUAGAUAGAAAAUAGGUGCCCGUACCGCAAACCGACACAGGUAGUCAAGAUGAGAAUUCUAAGGUGAGCGAGCGAACUCUCGUUAAGGAACUCGGCAAAAUGACCCCGUAACUUCGGGAGAAGGGGUGCUCUUUAGGGUUAACGCCCAGAAGAGCCGCAGUGAAUAGGCCCAAGCGACUGUUUAUCAAAAACACAGGUCUCUGCUAAACCGUAAGGUGAUGUAUAGGGGCUGACGCCUGCCCGGUGCUGGAAGGUUAAGAGGAGUGGUUAGCUUCUGCGAAGCUACGAAUCGAAGCCCCAGUAAACGGCGGCCGUAACUAUAACGGUCCUAAGGUAGCGAAAUUCCUUGUCGGGUAAGUUCCGACCCGCACGAAAGGCGUAACGAUUUGGGCACUGUCUCAACGAGAGACUCGGUGAAAUCAUAGUACCUGUGAAGAUGCAGGUUACCCGCGACAGGACGGAAAGACCCCGUGGAGCUUUACUGUAGCCUGAUAUUGAAAUUCGGCACAGCUUGUACAGGAUAGGUAGGAGCCUUUGAAACGUGAGCGCUAGCUUACGUGGAGGCGCUGGUGGGAUACUACCCUAGCUGUGUUGGCUUUCUAACCCGCACCACUUAUCGUGGUGGGAGACAGUGUCAGGCGGGCAGUUUGACUGGGGCGGUCGCCUCCUAAAAGGUAACGGAGGCGCUCAAAGGUUCCCUCAGAAUGGUUGGAAAUCAUUCAUAGAGUGUAAAGGCAUAAGGGAGCUUGACUGCGAGACCUACAAGUCGAGCAGGGUCGAAAGACGGACUUAGUGAUCCGGUGGUUCCGUAUGGAAGGGCCAUCGCUCAACGGAUAAAAGCUACCCCGGGGAUAACAGGCUUAUCUCCCCCAAGAGUUCACAUCGACGGGGAGGUUUGGCACCUCGAUGUCGGCUCAUCGCAUCCUGGGGCUGUAGUCGGUCCCAAGGGUUGGGCUGUUCGCCCAUUAAAGCGGUACGCGAGCUGGGUUCAGAACGUCGUGAGACAGUUCGGUCCCUAUCCGUCGUGGGCGUAGGAAAUUUGAGAGGAGCUGUCCUUAGUACGAGAGGACCGGGAUGGACAUACCUCUGGUGUACCAGUUGUCGUGCCAACGGCAUAGCUGGGUAGCUAUGUGUGGACGGGAUAAGUGCUGAAAGCAUCUAAGCAUGAAGCCCCCCUCAAGAUGAGAUUUCCCAACUUCGGUUAUAAGAUCCCUCAAAGAUGAUGAGGUUAAUAGGUUCGAGGUGGAAGCAUGGUGACAUGUGGAGCUGACGAAUACUAAUCGAUCGAAGACUUAAUCAA
rnacentral:rRNA from 1 species